rnacentral:misc_RNA from 1 species
UACGAAGGGUGCUAGCGUUGUUCGGAUUUAUUGGGCGUAAAGCGUGCGUAGGCGGCUUAGCAAGUCAGCUGUGAAAGCCCGGGGCUCAACCCCGGAAUUGCAGUUGAAACUGCUUCGCUAGAGUAUGGAGCGGGAUAGUGGAAUUCCUAGUGUAGGGGUGAAAUCCGUAGAUAUUAGGAGGAACACCGGUGGCGAAAGCGACUAUCUAUGCCAUUACUGAAGCUGUUGCACGAAAGCGUGGGGAGCAAACAGG